CAUGGUUGGCCAGGUGCGGGUCAUGUGCCUACAUUUCCAGCCAGAGAGAAGCCAUUGAAGUUGCUCAGACCAGAGGCUUUACCUUGAACUUGUCUCUCCGAGGCGGUUGCCAGGCAACAGCCCUUGGCCACCAGGCUCUGGACCAGGACUUCCUGCAUCAGCAUCAGCAUUAUCAGAGGGGAGCUGGGAACCCGCAGGGCCUGGGGCAGGAAAGACCACGGCCCCCAGAUCUUUGGGAUCCUCUUUACCUAGAAGCGAUGGGGCAGGUGAGGCCACUGACCCAUGGGAGUUGACAGCUGGACUCCACAGGACUCCACACAGAAGAAAACACAGCGAGCGGUCGGGCUCAAGCCUGUAAUCCCAGCACUUUGGGGGGCCGAGGUGGGCAGAUUGCUUGAGCUCAGGAGUUCGAGAUCAGCCUGGGCAACAUGGUGGAACCCCGUCUCUACCAAAAAUACAAAAAUUAACCAGGCA
rnacentral:lncRNA from 10 species